GACGAACGCUGGCGGCGUGCCUAAUACAUGCAAGUUGAGCGCUGAAGGUUGGUACUUGUACCAACUGGAUGAGCAGCGAACGGGUGAGUAACGCGUGGGGAAUCUGCCUUUGAGCGGGGGACAACAUUUGGAAACGAAUGCUAAUACCGCAUAAAAACUUUAAACACAAGUUUUAAGUUUGAAAGAUGCAAUUGCAUCACUCAAAGAUGAUCCCGCGUUGUAUUAGCUAGUUGGUGAGGUAAAGGCUCACCAAGGCGAUGAUACAUAGCCGACCUGAGAGGGUGAGCGGCCACAUUGGGACUGAGACACGGCCCAAACGCCUACGGGAGGCAGCAGUAGGGAAUCUUCGGCAAUGGACGAAAGUCUGACCGAGCAACGCCGCGUGAGUGAAGAAGGUUUUCGGAUCGUAAAACUCGGUUGGUAGAGAAGAACGUUGGUGAGAGUGGAAAGCUCAUCAAGUGACGGUAACUACCCAGAAAGGGACGGCUAACUACGUG
rnacentral:rRNA from 1 species